rnacentral:rRNA from 2 species
GUCGAACGAACUCUGGUAUUGAUUGGUGCUUGCAUCAUGAUUUACAUUUGAGUGAGUGGCGAACUGGUGAGUAACACGUGGGAAACCUGCCCAGAAGCGGGGGAUAACACCUGGAAACAGAUGCUAAUACCGCAUAACAACUUGGACCGCAUGGUCCGAGUUUGAAAGAUGGCUUCGGCUAUCACUUUUGGAUGGUCCCGCGGCGUAUUAGCUAGAUGGUGAGGUAACGGCUCACCAUGGCAAUGAUACGUAGCCGACCUGAGAGGGUAAUCGGCCACAUUGGGACUGAGACACGGCCCAAACUCCUACGGGAGGCAGCAGUAGGGAAUCUUCCACAAUGGACGAAAGUCUGAUGGAGCAACGCCGCGUGAGUGAAGAAGGGUUUCGGCUCGUAAAACUCUGUUGUUGAAGAAGAACAUAUCUGAGAGUAACUGUUCAGGUAUUGACGGUAUUUAACCAGAAAGCCACGGCUAACUACGUGCCAGCAGCCGCGGUAAUACGUAGGUGGCAAGCGUUGUCCGGAUUUAUUGGGCGUAAAGCGAGCGCAGGCGGUUUUUUAAGUCUGAUGUGAAAGCCUUCGGCUCAACCGAAGAAGUGCAUCGGAAACUGGGAAACUUGAGUGCAGAAGAGGACAGUGGAACUCCAUGUGUAGCGGUGAAAUGCGUAGAUAUAUGGAAGAACACCAGUGGCGAAGGCGGCUGUCUGGUCUGUAACUGACGCUGAGGCUCGAAAGUAUGGGUAGCAAACAGGAUUAGAUACCCUGGUAGUCCAUACCGUAAACGAUGAAUGCUAAGUGUUGGAGGGUUUCCGCCCUUCAGUGCUGCAGCUAACGCAUUAAGCAUUCCGCCUGGGGAGUACGGCCGCAAGGCUGAAACUCAAAGGAAUUGACGGGGGCCCGCACAAGCGGUGGAGCAUGUGGUUUAAUUCGAAGCUACGCGAAGAACCUUACCAGGUCUUGACAUACUAUGCAAAUCUAAGAGAUUAGACGUUCCCUUCGGGGACAUGGAUACAGGUGGUGCAUGGUUGUCGUCAGCUCGUGUCGUGAGAUGUUGGGUUAAGUCCCGCAACGAGCGCAACCCUUAUUAUCAGUUGCCAGCAUUAAGUUGGGCACUCUGGUGAGACUGCCGGUGACAAACCGGAGGAAGGUGGGGAUGACGUCAAAUCAUCAUGCCCCUUAUGACCUGGGCUACACACGUGCUACAAUGGAUGGUACAACGAGUUGCGAACUCGCGAGAGUAAGCUAAUCUCUUAAAGCCAUUCUCAGUUCGGAUUGUAGGCUGCAACUCGCCUACAUGAAGUCGGAAUCGCUAGUAAUCGCGGAUCAGCAUGCCGCGGUGAAUACGUUCCCGGGCCUUGUACACACCGCCCGUCACACCAUGAGAGUUUGUAACACCCAAAGUCGGUGGGGUAACCUUUUAGGA